rnacentral:rRNA from 1 species
ACUGACCUCUGGUUUACCGGUUGUGCCGCCAGGUGCAUUGCCGGGUAUCUAAGUCGGGAUUGGAUAAGUGCUGAAAGCAUCUAAGUACGAAGCCAGCCACAAGAUUAGAUUUCUUUUUAGGGUCGUUGUAGACUACAACGUUGAUAGGACGCAGGUGUACAGGUGGUAACAUCACAGCCGAGCGUUACUAAUUGCCCGAUGACUUUCUUU